rnacentral:rRNA from 1 species
GUGGGGAAUCUUGCGCAAUGGGCGAAAGCCUGACGCAGCCAUGCCGCGUGAAUGAUGAAGGUCUUAGGAUUGUAAAAUUCUUUCACCGGGGACGAUAAUGACGGUACCCGGAGAAGACGCCCCGGCUAACUUCGUGCCAGCAGCCGCGGUAAUACGAAGGGGGCUAGCGUUGCUCGGAAUUACUGGGCGUAAAGGGCGCGUAGGCGGACAGUUUAGUCAGAGGUGAAAGCCCAGGGCUCAACCUUGGAAUUGCCUUUGAUACUGGCUGUCUUGAGUACGGGAGAGGUGAGUGGAACUCCGAGUGUAGAGGUGAGAUUCGUAGAUAGUCGGGAGAACACCAGUGGCGAAGGCGACUCACUGGCCCGUUACUGACGCUGAGGCGCGAAAGCGUGGGGAGCAAACAGGAUUAGAUACCCGGGUAGUCC